rnacentral:rRNA from 1 species
GAUGAACGCUGGCGGCGUGCUUAACACAUGCAAGUCGAACGGAAAGGCCCAAGCUUGCUUGGGUACUCGAGUGGCGAACGGGUGAGUAACACGUGGGUGAUCUGCCCUGCACUUCGGGAUAAGCCUGGGAAACUGGGUCUAAUACCGGAUAGGACCACAUUUUGGAUGGUGUGGUGGAAAGUUUUUCGGUGUGGGAUGAGCUCGCGGCCUAUCAGCUUGUUGGUGGGGUAAUGGCCUACCAAGGCGUCGACGGGUAGCCGGCCUGAGAGGGUGUACGGCCACAUUGGGACUGAGAUACGACCCAGACUCCUACGGGAGGCAGCAGUGGGGAAUAUUGCACAAUGGGCGCAAGCCUGAUGCAGCGACGCCGCGUGGGGGAUGACGGCCUUCGGGUUGUAAACUCCUUUCGCUAGGGACGAAGCGUUAUGUGACGGCACCUGGAGAAGAAGCACCGGCUAACUACGUG